CCUCCCUCCGGUAGGUGAGUGAGCUCUGGAAGGGAGCUCGCUUAGUAACCGUUUAGGCUGGAGAGGAGCUGGGUGGCAGCUUCAACUCUCUGCCAACUCUUUUAACAUCACGUAGAGCACUGAUUUCUCCUCGGAUAUUCUGAGCAGUUUCUCUGUGCACUGCAGUUCUCAUCCACCAUUAAGG